UACCAAAGGCAAUCAAAUAUGAAUCAAAUCGGUUAAAUCUCACAAAUAUAUCACUAGAGUUCACCAAGUCUCAACUAGAAAAAGAAAAUAAAUCAGCCACUCAUGGUGGACUUUAACAUAAAAGAGUUCUAGGGAAGAAAAGAGAAGAGGAAAUAUAAAGAAAGACGAGUCGCAGAAGUGGUGGAAGCUGCUGUAUGCAG
rnacentral:lncRNA from 1 species